ACGGGGCGGGGGGGAAAGGAAAACGUAUAUUUCAGUGAGUUUUUUGUUUUGCUUUUUAGAAACGAGCCCUAACGCCGCCCGCUCGGAAAGCUAAACGCGGAUCUCGCAAACAUCAUCUCUCUAUGAAGGUAUUUUCUCUGGAGCAAUGGGAGAAGCUGGGAUUUUCUUUGGCUCAGCCCCAGCUGGCAUUCACUGCUGUUUAUCAGACCUCCACGCUGGACAGGUGUACCCAUUGCAGAGCAAACACACAGUGUGGCAGCACACGGGAGCACUCUGAGGCAGCAAUCCUGACCUGGGGAGCUCCUGUCCCCUUCUCCAUCCUCACCGCAACCACCUCCAAUGCACAGAGGAUCAGAGGGA
rnacentral:lncRNA from 1 species